rnacentral:misc_RNA from 1 species
AACGCACGAGACCUGCGGACCUGCGGAAGGAUCAUUACUGAGUGAGGGCCCCUCGGGGUCCAACCUCCCACCCGUGUUUAACGAACCUUUGUUGCUUCGGCGGGCCCGCCUCACGGCCGCCGGGGGGCUCCUGCCCCCGGGCCCGCGCCCGCCGAAGCCCCCCCUUGAACGCUGUCUGAAGUUUGCAGUCUGAGAAACUAGCUAAAUUAGUUAAAACUUUUAACAAUGGAUCUCUAGAUC